CACAACCUCCUACUGUUACGCAACUACCACAGCUUACGUGCAACUUUUUUUUUUUUUUAAUAAAUGAAACGUGCUUUUAGAGCUACCCUCCCAAGGACCCAUUUUAUGUCUCAUUCGAAUUUCCCCCCUCCCCUAUACCCGCACGUUUCCCACCCCCAGCGUUCGCAUUCUCCUUUCGGGCUUCACCCUUCCGCCCACAUUCUUCAUGCCGCCAUUCUCACCGCCCGUCUGGGGCCGCAAGACAAGGUUGAAAUAACAUGAUGGGCAAUGAGGAAGAUGGAAGGCCAUCCAGACCUUCUACCUCAAUUUCACCAACUCAGAUAUGAUACACAUUGUUUAUUUGAAAAUGUCGUGGUGGGAGGUGUUGGAAGGAAAAGUCUGCUUUGGAUAUUUUCACUGCAAUUAUGUUGGCAUGCUUGGUUCACCCAACACUAGGAUUAUUUGCACUCCUCUUGUUUCAUGCUUUGGCCUGUCACAAUAUGUUCUGCAGGUAUUGUUUUGUGAUUUGUCUUGUCCUUCGCUGGUCCUGUUUAUGUACUUUUAUUUCAUUGUUCUUUAUUUUCUAGAGUCAUGCUUCAAUGUUAAAUUACUAAAGUCUGAUGACAUACGGAGGUAGAUUAGUGGUCGCAUUGACUUUCCACUAAUUUUCCCUUGCUCUCAAUAAUGGUCCAUUUGCUAGACUUGGUUAAAGCUCAAGUAUCCACAAGUGGGAUGUAAUUUAAAGGCUGUAUUAUAAAACUUAUAAUUGCUUAUUGUAUUUUGUUUGCUCAACUCUUUAAUCAAACUUCAUUAAAUGGUGAAAGAUAAUAUUACUCCUGAAUGAACAAAUUGUCAGACAGAUAAUAUUGAAAUUUUCAUGUGUCAUUAUUUGCGACUAUGGUGAUCCUAAGUGUUGCUUCAUGUUUUUGUAAUAGUUUUUUGAUGACUUCCUUUCACAGCCAUGCAUGGAGAAAAGAAUUAUUUACCUAUAAGAAUAAAGGCAAUGAUGGGUCUCGACAAUUUACAUCCAAAAGGAAGAUGGAAGAUCCAACCAGAGAUUGCCCAUGGAAGAGAACAGUUCCAAUAGUCUAGACUCUCCAAAAAGUUUUGGGGACUUACAAUUUGUGUAUAUAAAUGGGUAAUUGUGUAUUUGUAAAUGAGUAAUUUUAGCC